UACGGGGGGAGCAAGCGUUGUUCGGAUUUACUGGGCGUAAAGGGCGCGUAGGCGGCCACCGCAAGUCGACUGUGAAAUCUCCGGGCUUAACCCGGAAAGGUCAGCCGAUACUGCGGGGCUAGAGUGCAGAAGGGGCAACUGGAAUUCUCAGUGUAGCGGUGAAAUGCGUAGAUAUCGAGAGGAACACCUGCGGCGAAGGCGGGUUGCUGGGCUGACACUGACGCUGAGGCGCGAAAGCCAGGGGAGCGAACGGG
rnacentral:rRNA from 1 species